CUACGGGCCGCUGCAGUGGGGAAUAUUGCACAAUGGGCGCAAGCCUGAUGCAGCCAUGCCGCGUGUAUGAAGAAGGCCUUCGGGUUGUAAAGUACUUUCAGCGGGGAGGAAGGGAGUAAAGUUAAUACCUUUGCUCAUUGACGUUACCCGCAGAAGAAGCACCGGCUAACUCCGUGCCAGCAGCCGCGGUAAUACGGAGGGUGCAAGCGGUAAUCGGAAUUACUGGGCGUAAAGCGCACGCAGGCGGUUUGGUAAGUCAGAUGUGAAAUCCCCGGGCUCAACCUGGGAACUGCAUCUGAUACUGGCAAGCUUGAGUCUCGUAGAGGGGGGUAGAAUUCCAGGUGUAGCGGUGAAAUGCGUAGAGAUCUGGAGGAAUACCGGUGGCGAAGGCGGCCCCCUGGACGAAGACUGACGCUCAGGUGCGAAAGCGUGGGGAGCAAACAGGAUUAGAUACCCGUGUAGUC
rnacentral:rRNA from 1 species